rnacentral:rRNA from 1 species
UACAGAGGUCUCGAGCGUUAGGCGGAAUCACUGGGCUUAAAGCGUGUGUAGGCGGAUCGUUAAGUACCUUGUGAAAUCCCACGGCUUAACCGUGGAAUUGCUGGGUAUACUGGCGGUCUUGAGCCACUUAGGGGCUACCGGGAACAAAAUGGUGGAGCGGGUGAAAUGCGUAGAUAUCAUUUGGAACGCCAAUGGUGAAAACAGGUAGCUGGGAGUGUGCUGA